GACGAACGCUGGCGGCGUGCUUAACACAUGCAAGUCGAACGGUAAGGCCCUUCGGGGUACACGAGUGGCGAACGGGUGAGUAACACGUGGGUGAUCUGCCCUGCACUUCGGGAUAAGCCUGGGAAACUGGGUCUAAUACCGGAUAGGACCCUGGGAUGCAUGUCCUGGGGUGGAAAGCUUUUGCGGUGUGGGAUGGGCCCGCGGCCUAUCAGCUUGUUGGUGGGGUGAUGGCCUACCAAGGCGACGACGGGUGGCCGGCCUGAGAGGGUGACGGGCCGGAGUGGGGCGGAGAUACGGCCCGGCCCCCGGGGGGCGGCAGCGGUGGGGAAUAUGGCACAAUGGGCGCAAGCCUGAUGCAGCGACGCCGCGUGGGGGAGGGCGGCCUUGGGGUUGUAACCCUGUUUCAGCACCGAGGAGUGGAACGUGACGGUAGGGGCAGAAGAAGGACCGGCCAACCACGCGCCGGAGAGGGCCGCAA
rnacentral:rRNA from 1 species